rnacentral:lncRNA from 1 species
AGUGCUUGACCCUUACCUUUUCCAAAAGAGUUACCUUUUCAGGUUUCUCCUCUUCCAUGGCUGGUUCUUCAUGUAUCUCUUCAAAUGCUAGUUCCUUAGGUGUUUCUUCAAUUACUUGUUUUUCAGGUUUCUCCUCAAUUUUUGGUUCUUUGAUUGUCUCCUCAACUGAUGGUACUUCAAGCUUUUCUCCCACGGUUGGUUUUUCAGGUUUCUCUUCAACUGUCGGUUGUUCAGGUAUUUUCUCAACCGCUGGUUCUUCUGGUUUCCCCGAAACCCUUGAUUCUUCAGAUUUUUCUUCAAUUGCUGAUUCUUCAGAUAUCUCUUCAACUAUUGCUUCUUCAGUUUUUUCCUCAACUGAUGCAUAGUCAGCAAUGUCAUUGUUGGUAUUGCAUGGAAUUGCAUUGUCUAUUGUGUUCUUUGAGUUUACAAUUGGAAAAUUCUGCAAGAAAAUUUAAAGUUUCAUCUAGUCUUUCAAUAGAUAAACAUGUAAAUGCGUUGCACAUAUAAAGCUAAUAUGCUGAAUAAACUUUGUGAGAGUUAAUUCUCACCUUCUCCUUAAGAGCUUCCAUUUCAGGUUCCUCCUCUUCAAUUGCUGUUUUUUCAACUUUCUCUUCAACAACUAGCUCUUCAGAUGUAUCUUCAACCGUUGGUUCUUCAGGUUUCUCUUCAAGUGCUAGUUCUUCAGGUGUUUCUAUUGCUGCCGGUUCUUGAGGUUUCUCUUCAGUCUCUGGUUCUUGAGGUUUCUCCUCAGCUGGUACUUCAGAUUUCUCCUCAAAUGUUGGUUUCUCCUCAACUGCUGGUACAUCAGGUUUCUCUUCAAUGACUAGUUCUUCAUUUUUUAUUUCAACUGCCGGUUCUUCAGAAUUUUCCUCAAUGUCUGGAGAGUGAGCAACAUCAUUAUUGGUAUUGCAUGGAAUUUCACUGCCAGUUUUGGUGUUCGAGUCUACAAUUAGCAUAUUCUGCAAAAAGACUUUAAUGUUUCACUUAGCCUUUCAAAAGAAGAGCAUGUGAAUCACUGUACAUGCAUAACUAACAAAAUGGAUAUACUUUGUGAUAGUACUUGACCCUUACCUUUUCCAAAAGAGUUACCUUUUCAGGUUUCUCCUCUUUCAUUGCUGGCUCUUUAUGUAUCUCUUCUAAUGCUAGUUCCUUGGGUGUUUCUUCAGUUACUUGUUUAUCAGGUUUCUCCUCAAUUUUUGGUUCUUUGAUCGUCUCCUCAACUGAUGGUUCUUCAAGCUUUUCUCCCACUGUUGGUGUUUCAGGUUUCUCUUCGAUUGUCGGUUGUUCAGGUAUUUUCUCAACCGGUGGUUCUUCUGGUUUCUCCAAAACCCUUGAUUCUUCAGAUUUCUCUUCAAUAGCUGAUUCUUCAGAUAUCUCUUCAACUUCUGGUUCUUCAGUAUUUUCCUCAACUGAUGCAUAGUCAGCAAUGUCAUUGUUGGUAUUGCAUGGAAUUGCAUUGUCUGUUGUGUUCUUUGAGUUUACAAUUGGCAAAUUCUGCAAGAAAAUUUGAAGUUCCAUUUAGUCUUUCAAUAGAUGAAACAUAUUUAAAUUCAUUGCACUUAUAAAGUUAAUAUGCUGAAUAAACUUUGUGACAGUGUUAAUUGUCACCUUCUCCUGAAGAGCUUCCGUUUCAGGUUCCUCCUCUUCAAUUGCUGGUUUUUCAUCUUUCUCUUCAACAACUAGCCCUUCAGAUGUAUCUUCAACUGUUAGUUCUUCAGGUUUCCCUUCAAGUGCUAGUUCUUCAGCUGUUUCUAUAGCUGCUGGUUUUUCAGGUUUCUCUUCAGUUGCCGGUUCUUGAGGUUUCUCCUCAGCUGGUACUUCAGAUUUCUCCUCAAAUUUUGGUUCUUCAGGUUUCUCCUCAACUGCUGGUACAUCAGGUUUCUCUUCAAUGACUGGUUCUUCAUUUUUUAUUUCAACUGCCGAUUCUUCAGGAUUUUCCUCGAUGUCUGGAGAGUGAGCAACAUCAUUAUUGGUAUUGCAUGGAAUUUCACUGCCAGUUUUGGUGUUCGAGUCUACAAUUAGCAUAUCCUGCAAAAAGAAUUUAAUGUUUCACCUAGCCUUUCAAAAAAAGAUCAUGUGAAUCACAGUACAUGCAUAACUAACAAAAUGGAUAAACUUUGUUA